AUUGAACGCUGGCGGCAGGCUUAACACAUGCAAGUCGAGCGGGGUGAUGGUGCUUGCACUAUCACUUAGCGGCGGACGGGUGAGUAAUGCUUAGGAAUCUGCCUAUUAGUGGGGGACAACAUCUCGAAAGGGAUGCUAAUACCGCAUACGUCCUACGGGAGAAAGCAGGGGAUCACUUGUGACCUUGCGCUAAUAGAUGAGCCUAAGUCGGAUUAGCUAGUUGGUGGGGUAAAGGCCUACCAAGGCGACGAUCUGUAGCGGGUCUGAGAGGAUGAUCCGCCACACUGGGACGGGGACACGGCCCAGACUCCUGCGGGAGGCAGCAGUGGGGAAUAUUGGACAAUGGGGGGAACCCUGAUCCAGCCAUGCCGCGUGUGUGAAGAAGGCCUUAUGGUUGUAAAGCACUUUAAGCGAGGAGGAGGCUCUUUUGGUUAAUACCCAAGAUGAGUGGACGUUACUCGCAGAAUAAGCACCGGCUAACUCUGUGCCAGCCGCCGCAGUAA
rnacentral:rRNA from 1 species